rnacentral:rRNA from 1 species
ACCUCUUUCAGCAGGGAAGAAGCGAAAGUGACGGUACCUGCAGAAGAAGCGCCGGCUAACUACGUGCCAGCAGCCGCGGUAAUACGUAGGGCGCGAGCGUUGUCCGGAAUUAUUGGGCGUAAAGAGCUCGUAGGCGGCUUGUCGCGUCGGUUGUGAAAGCCCGGGGCUUAACCCCGGGUCUGCAGUCGAUACGGGCAGGCUAGAGUUCGGUAGGGGAGAUCGGAAUUCCUGGUGUAGCGGUGAAAUGCGCAGAUAUCAGGAGGAACACCGGUGGCGAAGGCGGAUCUCUGGGCCGAUACUGACGCUGAGGAGCGAAAGCGUGGGGAGCGAACAGGAUUAGAUACCCUGGUAGUCCACGCCGUAAACGGUGGGCACUAGGUGUGGGCGACAUUCCACGUCGUCCGUGCCGCAGCUAACGCAUUAAGUGCCCCGCCUGGGGAGUACGGCCGCAAGGCUAAAACUCAAAGGAAUUGACGGGGGCCCGCACAAGCGGCGGAGCAUGUGGCUUAAUUCGACGCAACGCGAAGAACCUUACCAAGGCUUGACAUACACCGGAAAACCCUGGAGACAGGGUCCCCCUUGUGGUCGGUGUACAGGUGGUGCAUGGCUGUCGUCAGCUC